rnacentral:misc_RNA from 1 species
AACAUUCUCAUCAUGAUCAUGCAUCCUACAAACAUAUCUCUGAUUCUUUGUGGCCCAAUUAUUCAUUCCUUAGAGAAUAGUCAAUCUUGUAGUUGUCAUAUCACAUUUUCUCUUCUGUUUAUUAGGAACAUUCCAUAAUCACAAAAACCAUGCCAACACAACCUAUUGCCUGCAACAAAUAAAAUCAUAUACUGUAAAUGAAACAAAUUAGAAGAAAAGAAAAAGAGUCUUCACCUUGGAUGAAAUUUUGCCUCUAUU